CGCCUGUUUAUCAAAAACAUCUUUUCUUGUUAGUUUUUGAAGUAUGGCCUGCCCACUGAUUUUAGGUUGAAGGGCCGCGGUAUUUUGACCGUGCAAAGGUAGCAUAAUCAUUAGUUCUUUAAUUGUGAUCUGGUAUGAAUGGCUUGACGAGGCAUGGGCUGUCUUGGAUUGGGAUUGUUUAUUGAAUUUGGUUUUUGAGUUAGAAUUCUUAAAUGUUUUUAUGGGACGAGAAGACCCUAUAGAGUUUAACAUUUAUUUAUAUAGCUUGUUUUGGUUUGUUUUGUAGUUGCUUUGUGUUAGUGUUUUGUUGGGGUGAUGGGAAGAAUUUUCUUAACUCUUCUUUAUUUUGGUAUAUUGAUUUAUAUUGGUUUUGAUCCAUUUAUUUUGAUUAUAAGAUUAAAUUACCUUAGGGAUAACAGCGUAAA
rnacentral:rRNA from 1 species